UACAGAGGGUGCGAGCGUUGUUCGGAAUUACUGGGCGUAAAGCGCGCGCAGGCGGCUUCUUAAGUCCAUCGGUGAAAUGCCGGGCUCAACCCCGAGUGUGCCGAGGAUACUGGGAGGCUGGAGACGAGUAGAGGCAAGCGGAAUUCCGGGUGUAGCGGUGGAAUGCGUAGAGAUCCGGAAGAACGACCGGAGGCGAAGGCG
rnacentral:rRNA from 1 species